rnacentral:rRNA from 1 species
UACAUGUGGGGCAAGCGUUGUUCGGAAUUACUGGGCAUAAAGAGUGCGUAGGCGGCUUGUUAAGUCAGGGGUGAAAGUUUUCGGCCCAACCGGAAAAUUGCCUUUGAUACUGGCGAGCUGGAGUGCGUGAGGGGUGACCGGAACGAGUGGUGUAGCGGUGAAAUGCGUAGAUAUCACUCGGAAGGCCAACGGCGAAGGCAGGUCACUGGUGCGCAACUGACGCUGAGGCACGAAAGCGUGGGGAGCAAACAGG